AAAAGGGAAAGUUGAGGGUCCUGAUGGCCUGAUUGUGAUAGUGUAUUUGGGUAGUGAGCAUGACUGUACAGAAGUGAUAGAGGACACAUCGUGCAUCCCAGGUGAGAGCUUGAAGCUGCGAUUUCCCUUUGUGCUCUUCACCGAAAAAAAUGAGCAUGCUGCUGCUGGACUGAGGUGUUUGAGUUAGAAGAAUAGUGUCCUG